GUGUUGUGUAGGGGGAGGAGCUGAGCCGCCCUCUUGCCCAGGGUGGAAAAGGCCCUCGGCCCCGACAGCACACAGGUGGCCAAGGCAUCGUCACCUAGCAGGUGGCAUCGAAGCGUGGGUAUGA